GAUGAACGCUGGCGGCGUGCUUAAUACAUGCAAGUCGAACGAAUGGAUGUCUAGCUUGCUAGACUGAAGUUAGUGGCGAACGGGUGAGUAAUACAUAGGCAAUCUGCCCUGAAGUGUGGGAUAGCUAUUGGAAACGAUAAUUAAUACCGCAUAGGUAGUAAGAAGGCAUCUUCCUACUAUUAAAGAUGCGUUUGCAUCGCUGCAGGAUGAGCUUAUGGUGUAUUAGCUAGUUGGUGAGAUAAAAGCCCACCAAGGCUAUGAUACAUAGCUGGUCUGAGAGGAUGAACAGCCACAUUGGGACUGAGACACGGCCCAGACUCCUACGGGAGGCAGCAGUAAGGAAUUUUCGGCAAUGGGGGCAACCCUGACCGAGCAACGCCGCGUGAAGGAAGAAGGCUUUCGGGUUGUAAAACUUCUUUUACCAGGGACGAAGGACGUGACGGUACCUGGAGAAAAAGCCACGGCUAACUACGUGCCAGCAGCCGUACGG
rnacentral:rRNA from 1 species